GUGGGGGCAGCCACACUCUGUGCCUGGCCCUGCCCUCCAGCGCCUUCAACUCCUGGAGGCCCCGAACCCCAUCCAGGAGCAGAGCAUCUCCAUCCGCAUGGAUACCCUGUGCUGGCUGCAGGGGGCAUGGUGGUGGUGGAAGUGGCUCUUAGCGGUGGCUGGGAUCAUGGGAAUCCUGCUCAGCAUCGCUUGGCUGUGGAGGAAGAGGAGGAAGAGGAGGAAGAGGAGGAAGAGGGAAGCAGAGAGGGGAGCCGCCCUCAUUCCCAUCCCCAAUGAGGAUGCUCCACCGGAGCCAUUGGACGCCAAGAUCCAGAGGACAAAGCCCCUGCAAUGG